GUAGAAUCUAGCGCCGUUUACAGAUCUGUAUUUUGCCUUUUGUGCUGGGUGUGAGACAGUCCGGAAUCAUGAACCUCUGCGGGAAAUUUUCAUGCUUAAUAGGCGUCGGUUCAAUUUGUCUGAUUUUAUACUUUGGCGUUGUAGAACAAAGUGGUUUCUACUUGGAGUCUGAUUGUGGCAACAGACCAGAAAACAAGGCAAUGCUGCCAACAUUGCAAUACAUGCCUUUAUUUGGUUAUCCUGUAAACAUCAGUAUUUGGCCAUGGAUUGUUUCUUUACAAUACAGCCACAAUGGCUUGGAUUCAUUUAAGCAACACUGCUCAGGAGCCAUCAUUUAUGAAGACUGGAUAUUGACAGCAACAUCAUGUUUCUAUGAGACUGCAUUCAGAAAUUCAAGUAACUGGAGGAUCCAAACUGGGUCUUCUGACUUGAAUUAUAAUAGCCCCCACAUACAGACAUCCACAAUGGAAGAUAUUAUUUUGCACAAAGAUUACCACCCUGAGUCAUCAUGGAAUAACAUUGCACUGGUGAAGUUGACAACACCACUGGUAUUCAAUAACUUUGUUGAUCGUGUCUGCAUACCUGACCUAAUGAAUGUGGAGCAUUUUAAGUAUUCAACGUGCCACAUCACUGUCUAUGAUAACACUGGAGUUUUGAAAGAGAGCCCUGUGAACAUAUUUCCACAUUCAACAUGUAACAUGCUUUCAUGGCAUAAGUUCAAAGUGUCUGCAGAUAUGUUUUGCGCCGGCUACGAGUAUGGAGGUUUGGAUGGAUGUCUGGACGAUACUGGUGGACCAUUGAGUUGCUAUGUCCCCACCACUGGAAGACACUAUGUCAGAGGGCUUCGAAUCAUAACAAAGAAGUGUGGAGUCCCAAGGAGGCCCAAUAUUUACCUACAAGUUAGCAAAUAUUACUACUGGAUUGCAAAUGCUGUCGAUCGCUACAAAGCUCACUCUUAGUCAGUCUUUGUCAUCAGUCAUGAAGUUGUAAAGAUCACCUUUUGAGAUAUCAAAGGUUUGAAUGCAUUAACUAUUGAGUGUUUUAAAAGGAUCAAAUCAUACAUUUGUCAUGUUUGUCGCAACAUAAAUUGUAAAUUUAAGGAAAAAAAUGAUGGAUGAAUAUAAUAAAUUUGUCAUGUUUGUCGCAACAUAAAUUGUAAAUUAAAAAAAAACGAUGGAUGAAUAUAAUACAUUUCAUAGUGUCUUUAUAAUGCAUCUAAAUGUUGAACCU